rnacentral:lncRNA from 1 species
GGAAAAAUGAGGAAAUGAGUUAGGAAAAAAAUUAAUAAAACUUGAAGACCAGUGUCGAAAGUGAUCGAUCCAAAAUUAAUUUCACAUGUCUGAGGGUACAAGUGUCUGAAGGAAAUGGGGGAGGAAAGGAGAAAAUGAGACUGGCGAAGUAAGACAAGGCCAUUUAGAGUUGGGGGGAAAAAAGCAGUCAUAUUCAAUGUUUCUUCUUUUAUUCAUCGAGAGUAUUAAAGAGCCUAAGAUAACAAAAUUUCCAAGCUUUAGGCUUGAGAAAGGGCAAAUCCAACUUGUCUCUGAAGAUGAGCUGAAUGCGUCACUCAAGAGUAAGAUCUCAUGGACCUCACCGCGUGCCUCGUGUGUAGGCUGUCCACAGGUGUCCUCGAGAAGACAGGCAAAGUGCUUCCACAUGCUUACUUUCUGGCGAAAUUCCAGGCACUCUCCUCCCUCCCUCUCCACCACAGACUCAGGCUGCUUUCCCUCUCGGCCUCCCAACAUUCAAGUUCCAAAUCAUGGGUAAGAAAUGGAGAUUGAGUGGAGACAAUAAAUGUAGUUGUCACAGUUGAGGAAAUUAUUUUAAAAGUCUUCACCACCAUAGGGUGUUUCUACAAAGUGUGAUAAAGCCAACCUGGCAAUGUUUGUCCCAUUUAAGUACAGUUUCCUCAGGAAGUGUUCGAUCUGGAUUUUGUCUGUUAGGUGAGAGCUUUCUGUGGAUUAGGGACAUUUAAUGACCCUCCGGUGUCUUUCAAGAUGGAGGCCAUGGCCUCUUGCCAAACUUUGGUCUUUAUUGUUUUGAUGAGAGAGGCAAACUAGAGAGUAUAUUCCCAUGGCAACUUCAGAACAUCAUCUGUAAUAUUACUUAAAGGACAGAGGGUGGCUGUGCUAGAAGUCUCAGCUGGACUGGAUAUCAAACUAGAAAGGGACUGGGAAGAGGAGUGUGCUCGGGCUGGGACCAUGGGUAACAUGAAAGAGAGUAUUUGUUUCUCUGGAAAACAUCGUCUCAAGUUACAAGCCAAGCUGCCUCUAGAUGUCCCUUUUCAACUCAUUCGAAAAAAAUACAGGGCUAUGUCCAAACCUCAAUGUUGAAAGCAUUUAGGAGGAUAUCCAAUUCACAGCCCACAGGCCCACUUCCAAGAAAAGAAACAAAUAAUGCAAAUGAUUACCUAUUAUCUUUUGCUCUGACAUCUCUCAAGCAAGUCUGGAGACCUUCUUUCCUCAUUCUGAAACCACAUCUCAAACUUCUGCCUAGCACGCUCUCCGCCCAGGCUCCUCAAUUCCCGUCUCUGACAGAGCCAUGCUUUGCUGCCUCUCUGAGGGAGUGACUCUGGGGACCUGUCCCUGCCUAUUUGGGGGUAGCCUGAAGAUCCAGCAGCUGCACGUCCUCUGGUCCUUUGCUCAUAAAGACAGCUGUGGCCAGUGCUCCUUGGAAAGCUGGGCUCUGUUCUCACUUUGAUUGCUUUUCUUAUGGGAAAAACUCCUAAAGCUCUUUCAGAAAAAGAUAUCCACCUUGCACCUAAGCAAAACCUUCUGGGG